GCACCGCCCCUUUCUCGUCUCUAGAAGCUGCAUAAUUGCCAGUCAGAAAUUGUAAUACAAAAUCUUCCAGUAGCAGAUGCAUCCAAUACCUUCAAUGGGUCAUUGUAUCUUGGGAAACGUGUGAUGUUUGAACACGAAUUGCACCGAUAAAGUUCAACUCGAGAAGCACCAUAAAGUUUUUCAGAAGAAUUUGCAUCCCCCAUGCCUUGAGUUCUGGUAUCAUUACCACAGGUAUCACAAGGAGGAGCAUUCACCCACCGAAAUGACUGCUUAAACCAGAAUAGCAGCUGUAAUAGGAAAGCAUUAUCUUGUUCAACUUUUGUUGGUUUGUAGUUUCCCUCCCUUCCCAAAGAAAUCAAUGCUUUCUCCUCAAGCUUGUCCACAGGAACCGUCUUUCGAGCCAUCUCUUGCCGAUGUGGAUCUUCAUACAUUUGAACUUGAUUUACGUAUGGCCAUAUCCGCUGUUCAACUUCCUUCUUACUAUCUCUAGAAACAAAAUGCUGCAUCAUAAGAGCUUCUUCUUCUGCCUGAAUAAGGCGAGCCAACUCUUCAUCUGACAUAGCCAAAUUUUCUAACUUCUCUUUCUCCUCGGCUACUAUUUCCUCCUCGACUCCAUCAAUUGAUACCAACCGAAGCUUAUCCGAUAUUAAAGUGAGAUCAGACUCGUCGGAUACAAUUUGAUCAUCUCUCCCCAGUAUCUUUUGUUGAUCGGGAGGAACGGAAGUGAGAGAGAAGAGCUGGUACUUGAGGACCUGGAAAAACGAAUAGAUAAGAGAAAAAGGUUUGUAAAUGAAACGGAAGAUGGAAUUGAAGAAGAUGAAGUGAGAAGAAGAAGAAGAGGACUUCGAAGCCAUCAUCAGUAUCGUAAUCGACGUCGAAUAUGGAGUCGUUGUGACUAACGGCGAGUCUCCGAGCAACCAUUAUUUUGCUACUGCUUCAAUUUGCUUCGUUUCUAGGUUUUGGAAUUCGAUUCCUUUCUUAAUAUAUGGACGUUUCGACCAUUUUUAUCUUCAU
rnacentral:misc_RNA from 1 species